GACGAACGCUGGCGGCGUGCUUAACACAUGCAAGUCGAACGGAAAGGCCCUGCUUUUGUGGGGUGCUCGAGUGGCGAACGGGUGAGUAACACGUGAGUAACCUGCCCUUGACUUUGGGAUAACUUCAGGAAACUGGGGCUAAUACCGGAUAGGAGCUCCUGCUGCAUGGUGGGGGUUGGAAAGUUUCGGCGGUUGGGGAUGGACUCGCGGCUUAUCAGCUUGUUGGUGGGGUAGUGGCUUACCAAGGCUUUGACGGGUAGCCGGCCUGAGAGGGUGACCGGCCACAUUGGGCUGGGGUAACGGCCCGAAUUCCUCCGGGGGGAAGCGUUGGGGAUUAUUGCACAAGGGGCGAAGGCCGGUGGCAGCACCGCGGCGGGGGGAAGGACGCCCUUCGGGUUGUAACCCGCUUUGGCCUGUGACGAAGCGUGGGUGACGGUAAUGGUAAAGGAAGCACCGGCUAACUACGU
rnacentral:rRNA from 1 species